AAGACAGCUCUGGCAGGGGAAACAAAGCCAAACACUGCAAACAGCGGCCUAACAACAUGGUCAAACAAACAGGAGGCUCGGGGCUUUAAGUCCCACCACCCACGAACCACCAACUUCCAAACAACCAACCACACCACCCACCGCCCACUUACGCCCCCUCCGCCCGCAAAAAGCCAUCUGCCAUUUACAGGAGCGGGCGAAACCGUGAGCUCUGAGCCGCAACGCGUUAUCUUCGCCCAAGCUUUGCAUAAAUCAACGUAGCAAAAAACGGAAAAUGAACGAAAAGCGCCAGAAAUAUAUUUUCCAAAAACCGAACUCAAGCGUUAAAUUGAACGUGUUUGUAUACCCAGGAAUCGCACAAAUACAAAGGCAUACUGGGCCCAAAUAUAUUCUUCCAAAACUUC
ensembl:ncRNA lncRNA:TS1 long noncoding RNA: testis-specific 1